rnacentral:rRNA from 1 species
GUGUAGGAUAGGUGGGAGGCUUUGAAGCGUGGACGCCAGUCUGCGUGGAGCCGACCUUGAAAUACCACCCUUUAAUGUUUGAUGUUCUAACGUGGACCCGUGAUCCGGGUUGCGGACAGUGUCUGGUGGGUAGUUUGACUGGGGCGGUCUCCUCCUAAAGAGUAACGGAGGAGCACGAAGGUUGGCUAAUCCUGGUCGGACAUCAGGAGGUUAGUGCAAUGGCAUAAGCCAGCUUGACUGCGAGCGUGACGGCGCGAGCAGGUGCGAAAGCAGGUCAUAGUGAUCCGGUGGUUCUGAAUGGAAGGGCCAUCGCUCAACGGAUAAAAGGUACUCCGGGGAUAACAGGCUGAUACCGCCCAAGAGUUCAUAUCGACGGCGGUGUUUGGCACCUCGAUGUCGGCUCAUCACAUCCUGGGGCUGAAGUAGGUCCCAAGGGUAUGGCUGUUCGCCAUUUAAAGUGGUACGCGAGCUGGGUUUAGAACGUCGUGAGACAGUUCGGUCCCUAUCUGCCGUGGGCGCUGGAGAACUGAGGGGGGCUGCUCCUAGUACGAGAGGACCGGAGUGGACGCAUCACUGGUGUUCGGG